rnacentral:lncRNA from 1 species
CCAGAUUCACCGCGUCCCUAGUUUGUCACCAGCUUUAUCAACCCCAAGUCAUUAGAAUUUAGAAAGCUUGCCAUAGUUCACAUCACAUAUGAAAUGGAUACUCUUGGGGAGCGGCAAUGCAUAACUGUGGCAAACUGUGUCAUGUAGUUCACCUUUCCUUUUUGCGGGGAAUACGAUUCACUUGAAUUUGCUUAAAUAUUACUCCCUCCGUCUGGAAUACUUGUCAUAAAAAUGGAUACAAAUGAAUGUAUCCAUAACUAAAAUACAUCUAGAUACAUCCAUUCCUCGGAUAAGUAUUUCCGGGCGGAGGGAGUACACGGAUAGGAAUUAUAGUGCUCCAUUGGUAUUUUAGACGGAUGAUGAUGAUGUGAACAUCCAUUGGUAUUACUCGUGCCAGAU